UUGAUGAUUGAUUUUAGUUCCUAAACUUGUCUAGGUCACACCCCGCAAGGGUUACUCCUGGGCCAUUAGCUCAGGUGGUUAGAGCGCACCCCUGAUAAGGGUGAGGUCCCUGGUUCAAGUCCAGGAUGGCCCAUUCGGUGUUGGGGGUUUAGCUCAGUUGGUAGAGCGCCUGCUUUGCAAGCAGGAUGUCAGCGGUUCGAGUCCGCUAACCUCCACUGACUGAUCUCCUACAACGAGCCAAUGGUGAGAACCGUUGUGUGAUGUGAUUUAGAAUUUAAGUUUGCUGGAAGACCCUAGCUUCUUAUCAUUCCAGGCCUCAAUCAAUUGAGGUUAGGUUGAUAGGAUGCUGGGCUCACUGUAAUUCGCAAGAAUUGCAGAGAUGUUCAGCAGAACCUUGACAACUGCAUAGGUAGGUCUGGAAAGAAUAAAGCAUCUCAUGGAUGCAUGAUUCUUUGGAAUCAGCUAAUGCAAUCUGCGUCAGUAGAGAGCUGAGGUUGAGGAACGAGAAUUAUGUUUGAUUCUUGAGUCAAGAGCCGAGACUCUAUAGCGUUCUUUCGAUGUCAUCGAGGCAUCGAGAGUUUGAUUGGUCAUUCAAACCAUCUUCAAUGACAAACAAUUCAGUUUAACUGGAGAAGUUUGAGAUUGAAGCCAGGUGAAUUGCUAAGAAUACGUAUUCAACUACGUGAAGCGUUAUAGAGAUUAAUUGGUCAAGCUACAA
rnacentral:tRNA from 1 species